GACCAAAAGAGAAAACCAGGGAAUUUAUUAAGCUUAGGGCGGAGAUGGACCACAUGAUCACCGGAGCAAAGUAUUCGGCGGCUGUGGCAUGGAGACUAUUCUGGAGAAAAUGGGCAUCCAGGGGAAGGUGCCAGCGAUGAGCUUCUGGAGCUGAUCUGGGAGGACAUGAGGCUGCAGAGCAGCAGAGAGCACAGGAGAGAAGGAAGAACUUUGACAGCUUUUUACUUUGCUAGAAAAAAAUGGUUAAUGAAGAUUAAACAUGUACAUGUAAAAGAAAUAUCUAAAUAAAAUCAGUUCUGCAUUAAA